GCCGCUCGAAUCUUUGCACACCUCUACGUGGUGAGCGGCAGGCAACACAGUAUAGACACUGUGGCUAAGAUGCGGAG
rnacentral:ribozyme from 1 species